GAUGAACGCUGGCGGCGUGCCUAAUACAUGCAAGUCGAGCGAACAGACGAGGAGCUUGCUCCUCUGACGUUAGCGGCGGACGGGUGAGUAACACGUGGAUAACCUACCUAUAAGACUGGGAUAACUUCGGGAAACCGGAGCUAAUACCGGAUAAUAUAUUGAACCGCAUGGUUCAAUAGUGAAAGACGGUUUUGCUGUCACUUAUAGAUGGAUCCGCGCCGCAUUAGCUAGUUGGUAAGGUAACGGCUUACCAAGGCGACGAUGCGUAGCCGACCUGAGAGGGUGAUCGGCCCCACUGGAACUGAGACACGGUCCAGACUCCUACGGGAGGCAGCAGUAGGGAAUCUUCCGCAAUGGGCGAAAGCCUGACGGAGCAACGCCGCGGGAGUGAUGAAGGUCUUCGGAUCGUAAAACUCUGUUAUUAGGGAAGAACAAAUGUGUAAGUAACUAUGCACGUCUUGACGGUACCUAAUCAGAAAGCCACGGCUAACUACGU
rnacentral:rRNA from 1 species